CAUAGUCUUACGAUACAUGUAAAAAAUACUAGAAAAUUCCAGGCUAAAGAGGUCAACAAACUGCAGGUUAAACGAAAUAGUUUAAUUUUCGCUGUGUGCGUGUUUGAGCGGUCCAAGAUUUAUUUUUAAAUUUUAGUGUGUAAAAAAUUCUAACUCUAAUAAAAACUGAGACGAGGUAAUCAAGAGGAAAGUCUUUGCAGGGGUGGUGGAAUGGUAUUUUUGUAUGGUUCGUUUUUUAGCCGCAAACCAGUUAACGAAUACAGUGCAUAAAUUGGGUAAAACUCACAAAAUAUAUUACCCACUACCGGAGUAUAAACUGCAAAUGUUUAGGUGGCAUCAUUAAAUCGCCAAAAAUCACAUCUUCAUUGAAAACUUUAAAAUGUCACACAAUUAAAACAGGAUGUACCACUUCGUAAGAAUGUGCAAAGUUCACACAAACUUCGCAGAAGUGGUGGUGUAAGAAUGUGAGUUUCCGGUAACUCACAUCACUUAAUGAUUGUUGAAGAGGCCGGAAUACAGGGAAGAUGUGUUGUGGAAGUUUGUUUAAAAGAACACCUUAGCAAAUUUUUCAUUUCAAAUAAAAUAGUGUUUCACAGUUGGUUCUUGCACUUGUAUCGAAAUAAUCUGUAGUAAAUAGUUUCCGAAACGUUCUUUGGAAUUCUAUUGGUGUGGGAUUUAUACAAUUCCCAAAUUGACGCCUCACAGAGCCAAACAAAUAUGUCAAACAAUACUGAUUUAGUUGCAGCAACCUUUUAGUGAAAAUUGUAAACAAAUUGUAUUCUGUGAAAACUAUUAAAAAUAAUAAGCAAAAUGUUUAUGUUCCUGAA